GUUGGCUUGCUGUACUCUUACCGUCUUACCAAACCCACUACUCCACAUCAAGGUUUUGAAUCUUUUGAUUAGGUCAUCUUAGAAUUAGCUAAUAAUACAGAAUCAGACCUUAAAUAGCUUUUGAUAAUCAUCAUUAAUCCGACUAUGUCCUUUUGGAGGGUUAUUAUCCAUGUAGCUUUCCCAGACCUAAGCAUCACUUCCAAGUCCCUCAAUAGUCCGUCCUAAACAAUAUAUUGGACAUAAAGCUUGCUUCAAAGCAACUCAUCAGAAUCCGAUGGCCCUUUUUAAAGCUGUGUUUGGCUUCCAUGUAUCUGAAAGCAUACCACAACCCAGGACAUAAGGUGUUGCCAGAUUGGUAAAGCACCAUUUUAGAUACCGAAAUGACGAAUACUAUCCUCAUUAACCAGAGGAUCCAAGUUCUGUUCCAUUUGAGCUAAAAGAUUUUCCAUCAUAUGAUCCUCUUCUCUUUGCUCGGGAACUGAAGGAUGAGAGGCCAUGCUGCAAUUAAAUUUGCAUUGUCCCCUAUGGCUGGAGGAGGGGCCAAAUUGUCUGAAUCCCUUCAAAUUUGUGUUUAUGUUUCCUAUUAUUGAAGUUUCAAGGUUUCUUAAGAAGUUGAAGAAUUUUGAAUAUUUAUAAGCUGCUGCUGUAAUUACGUUGAGAAAAAUGAACACACUUAAUAGAACUCAGAAAUAAAGUAAAUUAGAGAAAAUGAGAAACAAAGAGGAUUUUGGUUUUGAUUAGUUAAUCAAACACAAGCUUGGCACUCGUCCUCUGAAAACAUACAUUUUGAUAUUGGCGGCUUUGUUGUUUCUAAUUCUGCUAAAUGACAAUAAAUGAUUUGAAUUAAGGUGUGUAUAUAUGAAUUGGGGAUUUUGUGUUUGAGAAUCCAGAGGAUACUUUGCAGUCAUGGCACAUUGAUUGUUAUAGUUUCUUUGUUGUUGGUAUGGAUGGUGGAGAGUGGAUACUAGCAAGCAGAUUAAGAGACAAUUUGCAGGACACUAUUUCAUGUUGCAUUGUUUAGGUCUAUCCCGUUUCGUGGACUGCAAUUUACAUGCCUUUGGACAAUGUGGGAAUGUGGAAUGUGAGAUCUGAGAAUUGGGCCCUGACAGUACUUAGGCCAGCAGUUCUAUCUUCGUGUAUACUUCUGUAUAAUCACAUUUCACAUUUUCACCUAUUUAAUUCCAAGUACACCAAGCAGCUUUUGACAGAAGAUGAAACUUCAGCAUUCUCGAGUCUUCAAUCCCUCUAAGCAUCCGAUUCUGGUGUUUACUAACACACAGCCACACAUCUCCUUAUACUUGCUUUAUCAGAAGAUAACAAUUACAUUUGGACUUUGAAUUUUUGUGGCAAAAUAUUAGCACUUAUUUGAUUCAGUAGCAUGUGUUUUUGAUUAAUGUUGACACUGUUCUUGGAGGUUUG